rnacentral:rRNA from 1 species
AACGAACGCUGGCGGCAUGCCUAACACGUGCAAGUCGAACGAUCCCUUCGGGGAUAGUGGCGCACGGGUGCGUAACGCGUGGGAACCUGCCCUUAGGUUCGGAAUAACUCAGAGAAAUUUGAGCUAAUACCGGAUAAUGUCUUCGGACCAAAGAUUUAUCGCCUUUGGAUGGGCCCGCGUUGGAUUAGCUAGUUGGUGGGGUAAAGGCCUACCAAGGCGACGAUCCAUAGCUGGUCUGAGAGGAUGAUCAGCCACACUGGGACUGAGACACGGCCCAGACUCCUACGGGAGGCAGCAGUGGGGAAUAUUGGACAAUGGGCGAAAGCCUGAUCCAGCAAUGCCGCGUGAGUGAUGAAGGCCUUAGGGUUGUAAAGCUCUUUUACCCGGGAUGAUAAUGACAGUACCGGGAGAAUAAGCCCCGGCUAACUCCGU